AAAAAAAGGCUUCAGAAACAAACAGUGACAAAAAAUUGGAAAUCAGAACUCAACGAUGCAAGGACAACCACCUGACAUGCCUUAACCAAGCACAAACUUGUUUGCCUUUUUUCUCCACUCGUUUACUUCUUUUCAUGUCUUGUUUAAUUUUAAGCUUCUCUUCAGAAGAAAAGAAAAAAUGACAAUAGAGAUGAUCAAGCAAGUUUCUUUCCUUUUUCAGUAAAGUCAUUAGCAGCAGCAGAAAAAGAUGCUUCAUAUCUAUCACAACUUCAACUCUUCUUUUAAAUUUUUUUUAUAAGUAGCCAUCACAUCCCUCGCUUCCUUUACUAAUAUUUUCUAGACCAAUACCAAGUACAAAGCAAAGAAAAAAAUUUAAAAAAAAAAAACAUUGAUUCUCCCAUCUCCUUUGGUGGAUGAUGUUUCUCUGAAUUUAUUUAUUUUCCUUGUACAAAUUGAAUUGUCAGCAAAUUAGACCUGUAAACAGCUCUUCAACUUGGCAAGUCCUUCUCCUUGCAAUAAUGCCCACAUGCUUGUUCUGAGCCAGGAUUAGUUACAUUUGCAAAUUAGCACUUCCUUUGUUGCGUGAGAAAUGGUCCAGUUGCAAUCUUUUCUAGUCAGCAGUUAUUGACAAAAUAUACACAAACUCUGUACCUUUAUUGGAUUGUAGGCAACUGAAUGUCUCUAUCACCACCAAGGCAGAGUUUCUUAUCAACAGUGCCCACAUUAUCUUUUUUCCCCAUUGGAAUUCAAGUACUCGGCAUUUUUUUGGCAGUGAAAAGGUUCCUCAUUCGUCUGGCCUAGAGAUCCUAACUUGUAUAGCUUGGUAGCGACACUCAGGCAGGUUGCAUUUAGUCCACCAAUUUGGCUACUUUAUAUGUCUCAUAGGCACAUGAAAUAAGACAAUUAAGAGAAGCAUAUAUGAUAAGAACUUAAUGUGACAGAAUGAGGAAACCAAUGAAAGUUUGAAAUUUUUGAGCAACUGCAUUCUGUACAAAACAACUUGUAUUUAAAGAAUCUUUGGCUGUGCUGUUCAUCCGUCAAUCUUGAAUAUGCUUGCACGACUCAGAAUCAGAAACUCUCUUAAAAGAAAUUGAGCUCAGUGUAUCCAAGUGCCUGUGGUAGUAGCUCCUCUACCUCAAUUCUGGAGCUGGAACAACUCAUGCUUUUCUUGAUUCGGGUGCCAUUUAUGGACUCAACCUCAGCCAAAAAUACGCUAUAAACUGGUCUAUGAUCUGAGAACCUUGAUUCCCCGCGUACAUAAGAUAACUGAUUGAGGCCUCUUCCAUACCACAAUAUUCGGUCACACCUACAUGCAUGCAUGUAGACUGAUCAUUUGUUCUGUUAUCAGAUAAUUUAACCACAUUCUGCUAACAUGGCCCCAUGAAGGCAUUAUGUAUGGGAUUUCAAUUUCAUUUCACUCAAAGUUUAAACAGCAAGAAAAAUUUUCACUUUUUCUGAAGAGAAAGAUAAUAAGAAAAAGAAAUUGCCAUGCAGGGGUUCUUCGCUUCUCCUUUGGGCAUCUGUCAUCUCCUGCAUAUCGGUCUGAGUUGUUAGAAUACUUGUAUGUGGGAGGGAAGUAUAUCCUCCCUUCAGUCCAUCCCUCAAAGACUCGCCCCCUUCUCUGUUCUAUCCGUAGCUGGUCAUUCUCUAACAAUGCUCUCCAGUUGCGCAUCUCUACAAGAGCCUUUGCAGUUCGGUAAGACAAGGCAAUACGGUAAUUUAAAUCCCCAAGCCAAAUA
rnacentral:misc_RNA from 1 species